CACGUAGGGGCGAGCGUUGUCCGGAAUUACUGGGCGUAAAGGGCGCGCAGGCUGUUAUGCGAGUCAGAUGUGAAAUCCUUCGGCUCAACCGAAGAACUGCAUCUGAAACUUCAUAGCUCGAGUACAGGAGAGGGAAACGGAAUUCCCGGUGUAGAGGUGAAAUUCGUAGAUAUCGGGAGGAACACCAGUGGCGAAGGCGGUUUCCUGGCCUGAUACUGACGCUGAGGCGCGAAAGCGUGGGGAGCAAACAGGAUUAGAUACCCUGGUA
rnacentral:rRNA from 1 species